CUCCAUGUUUCCCAGGUCUGUAGCUGGUGUGGCCUUUUGAUGUCAGGGCAACCUGGAGAGGCUUUGACAGCUCGGGCCAGCAUCGUACCUGUAGGUGCUGCUCAUCUUUCCUACGAUG
rnacentral:snoRNA from 1 species